UACGUAGGGGGCAAGCGUUGUCCGGAUUUAUUGGGCGUAAAGAGCGUGUAGGCGGCCAGGUAGGUCAGCUGUGAAAACUCGAGGCUCAACCUCGAGACGCCGGUUGAAACCAUCUGGCUAGAGUCCGGAAGAGGAGAGUGGAAUUCCUGGUGUAGCGGUGAAAUGCGUAGAGAUCUGGAAGAACACCAAAGGCGAAGGCAGCGUUCUGGGAAGCAACUGACGCUCAUGUGCGAAAGCUAGGGGAGCGAACGGG
rnacentral:rRNA from 1 species